UACAUUCACCUUCCUGAAAUGUGAUAAGCCUCCAGAACUACCAAAUCAGCCGGCCUAUCCCCAAGGAAAGGUACCCAUUAACAAGAAAAAGAUACAGGAUUUGAGAAAAUUAACUGAGUACACGAGAGGUUAUGAACAUUUUUAUAAUGCAAUCCUACUGUGGCCUACAACUGACUCUGAAAACCCUGAGGAAGUGGAUCAAGGGUGUGAAUAAGUUGCACUUCUGUCUUUUUAUUUGCAAAUAGAUGUUUUCUCUGUAAUAAAUAAUCAUUUUUGACACUUG